GAUGAACGCUGGCGGCGUGCCUAAUACAUGCAAGUAGAACGCUGAAGGAGGAGCUUGCUCUUUCCGGAUGAGUUGCGAACGGGUGAGUAACGCGUAGGUAACCUGCCUGGUAGCGGGGGAUAACUAUUGGAAACGAUAGCUAAUACCGCAUAACAGUAGAUAUUGCAUGAUAUUUGCUUGAAAGGGGCAAUUGCUCCACUACCAGAUGGACCUGCGUUGUAUUAGCUAGUUGGUGAGGUAACGGCUAACCAAGGCGACGAUACAUAGCCGACCUGAGAGGGUGAUCGGCCACACUGGGACUGAGACACGGCCCAGACUCCUACGGGAGGCAGCAGUAGGGAAUCUUCGGCAAUGGACGGAAGUCGGACCGAGCAACGCCGCGUGAGUGAAGAAGGUUUUCGGAUCGUAAAGCUCUGUUGUAAGAGAAGAACGAGUGUGAGAGUGGAAAGUUCACACUGUGACGGUAUCUUACCAGAAAGGGACGGCUAACUACGUG
rnacentral:rRNA from 1 species